CAGAUCCGGCGAUCGCGCGGGCGGCCGCCGCUUCACCGACCGCCGCGACGACGGCGGCGAGGGCUCGCCGACGGGAUCCAUGGAGGCAUCUAUAUAUCCAGCAACACCCGAACCCCCAACCCCACCACCCUCACCACCGGCGGCGAAGCGCGGCGCGGCGCGGCGCUGCUCGGAAGGGGAAAGGCAGGUGGCGUCUGCUGGGAAGCGACUCGAGCCGAUUGGAAUUUGACACGAACUG
rnacentral:lncRNA from 1 species